UCCAAAAGAAAAAAGUAUUACGAUGGCAUCUAAUAACUAAUGUUCAGCUAACUAAUUAUUUAUUUAGUACUCGACGCAACUUUGGCAUUAUGUGCGUCAAUCUAGUAUAAAUACUGCCUUUAACCCAAUAACUUAAGCGCACUCGCAUACUAUCAUAAAGAAGACGAAACAAGAGAAACUAUCAGAGAAAGAUGUCAUCAGAAUGCCCAGAAUGUAUGGCCAGAACUAGUUGGAGAAAAUGGGAAGUUGGCUGCUGAAAUUAUACAAAGAGAGAAUCCCAAUGUUACUGAAGCCACUGUUUUACCAGAUUGGAACUCCAGUAAUCCUAAACUUCAGUUGCAAUCGAGUUUGGGUUUGGGUUGAUUGUGAGGGAAUCGUCGUUCGUCCUCCUAUGAUUGGUUAAUCAUUAAUAAUGUUGCAACUAUAGUACCAUGUUUUUUACUUUAUGAACUUUUAUUUUCACACGCACUUUCUAAUACUCCUUUGAGAAGGGUGUCCUAAUAUUUCUCAUGUAUCGAAAAAAAUGUAUUAGAAACUAAUUAAUAUGUACUGAAAUAAUUAUAAUAUUUAAAAUAAAGUGAUUUUGUUGUGUGUU